UACGUAGGGCGCGAGCGUUGUCCGGAAUCAUUGGGCGUAAAGCGCACGUAGGCGGGUUGCUAAGUCAGGGGUGAAAUCCUGGAGCUCAACUCCAGAACUGCCUUUGAUACUGGACGAAUCUUCGAGUUCGGGAGAGGUGAGUGGAACUGCGAGUGUAGAGGUGAAAUUCGUAGAUAUUCGCAAGAACACCAGUGGCGAAGGCGGCUCUCUGGGCCGGUACUGAACGGCUGAGUGCGGAA
rnacentral:rRNA from 1 species